ACGCACGCGCAGGCAGCCAGGCAGGUGAGUCCGCCGCCGCCGCCCGUCCCAGUCCGCCCGGCCGCCCGCCCCGUCGCCUGCGCCCCCCGGCCUCCGCCCUCCGCCACUCGCCCGCGCCCUCAGCCCUCCGGCGGUCCGGCCUCCGCCGCUCGCCCGUCCGGCCGGUUGCUGCUCCGCGCCUUCGCCGCUCGCCGGCUCGUGCCGCCGCCGUCCCCUUGCUGGCCCUGCUGCUCGCCGGCUCGCCCGCUCUGCUCCGGCCUCUCCUGGCUCCUGGUCUGCUGGAUUGGUAAAUGAAUAAAAGAUGAAGCGGUAUUUUUCAUCCGUGGCAGCAACAGAAGUGUCUACACCCGGGGUUUUAGCCGGAGGAAAUGAAGGGGCUGAGAGGAGUGAAGCAACUCCAGAAAAUGAAACCAAUGCAGAAAUGGGACCACCGCCUUUGACUUCAAACAACCCGCCUUCAAUCUCAACUCGAGAAAGUAACAUUCCAGAUUCUGCUCGUGGUCAACUGAGGGAAGGUGAUAUUCAACCUGAUCCUGGUCUUAGGAAACCUAUUGAAAGCUUAGAUCCGGACAUUAGAGAUGUCGCUAGAAGGAUGUAUGUAAAUAUGGGUCCAUGCCAACCAACUGGGCAUAAAUUUAAAAAAGAAACUAGAGGAACAUCUUUGAAAAAGAGAUCCUUUCAAGCUAAAUGGUUCGGGAUGAUACAAUACCCGCUUGGGGCCGUUCAAGGGGGCGUGGUGGUCAAAUGUGGAAAGAGCUUUCUCAGCUAUGAGUAUUAUCAAGACUGAAUUGAGGAAUAAGAUGGGUGAUGAUUGGUUGAAUUAUUCCAUGGUGUGCAAUAUUGAGCGAGAAAUAUUUGCAAAGGUUGAUGAUGAUGCUAUUAUAUAUCGCUUUCAAGCCUAUAGAUUUCGCAAAGGAACUUUACCUCCUCGUAGUAGUGUUGGCUCUUCUUCCACCGUUGAUCAAGUUAUGGAAGACACUGAUGAAGCAAACCAUUGAUUUGGUACUCUUUUUACUGCACGUACUGUUUGUAGUUCUUGUCAUUUUUUAUCUAUUUUGGGUACAAUUGAGCCAUAUUUGAGGUAUUCUUUUGAGGUAGUUGUAGCUUGAUGGAUUUUAAGUUUUUCUCUCGCGACAAAAAAGAAAAAAUUUGGGCCCGGGGCUUGCUCCAAUCCUGGAUCCGCCACUGGCGAUGGAUAUGUCCAGGGGUGAGGCAGGUGGAUCGAUGAUAGCACGAGAUGAUCAGGGAUCCUUCCUCGCAACCAGAUUUAGACACUACCCAGGGACUACUUCUCCGCUGAUAGGUGAAGCUUUGGCGUGUCGGGACGCGAUGGUAUUUGCGAUGGAGCAAGGAUGGACCAACGUUCAAGUUGAAACAGACUGUCAAGUCUUUGCCAAUGAGUGGAAGAAUACAAGAGACCUGUCUGAUGUGGGUCUCAUUAUUAGAGAGACGAAGGUCUAUCUCUCAUCUUUCCAGGGAUUCGAGUUGUAUCAUAUUAGUAGAGACGCCAAUGGUCUGGCGUGCAAAUUAGCUCGGCAUGCUCUGCUGUUAGGCAUGGGCGAUGUUACUUUCAGUUAUAUCCCUGAGUUCUUGAGUGACGAAAUGCACUAUGUACGAUGGAGGAAUGAAUAAAUGCCUUUAAGGGUCGUACUUCAAUAAAAA